rnacentral:tRNA from 1 species
UCCCUGGUAGCUCAGAUGGUAAAGCGUCUGCCUACAAUGUAGGAGACCGGGGUUCGAUCCCUGGGUCGGGAA